rnacentral:lncRNA from 1 species
GCAAAGCGGAAACGAUUCCCCAAACUAUACAUCCAAGUCUUCAAUAAUUACAUGUCAUCCAGUCACGUGAACAAGUACUACAAGUCCUUCCUUCGCCACGAGCCCUGUGGAGGGGAAUAAAAUAGUUUUGGGGGUGAGCUAAAAGCUCAGCGAGUAACCAAUAAAAUCGAUAAGCAAAUCAGUUUCACAGUCGUUCAUUUCAAUGAUGUCAUGAUUCUAAGAUCAAAUGUACAUUUAUUGCUCUCGUGAGCCAGUGAAAUCGUUGUACUUAAACACCCAACGCUCCAAACAAACAUUUAAUAGUAAACAGUCAGAGGGGGAGCCAUUUGCUUCAGAUGAACAGUACACAGAGGUGGAGACGUUGGUGUUCAGCACACGAAUUCCAAGUACUCAUUUAAGCCAAAAUAUGUCAUGGGUCACAUGCAAGCACUCAUGAUAUGCAAUCAAGUAAAUAGUGCAAGAAACGGUUCAUAAGUAACUUUGGAAAUAGUUUAGGGUCACUCACCUCCACGGCUCAGAAAUCAUCCAUCAUAUAACAUUGCCUUGCUCAAAUCCAAGUCUUAGAUCACAAACUCAAUGCAAACAAGUCCCUUCAAAGUUCGGACAGCACUUCCCUUGAAUUUGCUAACUUUUCCAGCUAUCAUGGCUUCAUUAUUUCCUCAGCCAGUCCCAAAGGUACACACACAACAACAAGUUCAUCCAAUAGCCAUUCAGCAAGUUCCAAGUAGUACAAAGACAAGUCAAGCUAGGAAAAAGUCGGGAAAUGAAAGUUAAGCUCAAAACCAGAAAAAUAGCUUUUGACAUCCUUUUACGGUAAUGGCACCAAGGGCACUACGAUUGUCGGAUAAAAGUGCAAGACCCACCGUUUCGAAGCUAAGAGAUAGGGCUACAAUAUUACAGAAGGUCACUCAACCCAGUUUCGAGUGUAACCAGGUCAAAAAUGCAAGAAACGACACCAGAAUCACAAAAACAGAUUCACAGAACGCAUUCUAGCGGAAACAUCAUAACUCAGGCUCUCCAAGUCAAAAUCUAGAAAUUCCAAAACCAGCUGAUAGCUAAGAAACAGGGCUAAAUUUCAUCAGAAGGCCUCAACAACUAAUUCGGAAGCAAUCCUGACCAAAACAACCAAUUACAGGCGCAAUUCUUACAUUCGGGUAAAACCAGAACAGCAAUAGUAAUUUCGACUUUUCUCAAGCUACGCUACUCCGAUUGACCUGAACUUUUGCAGGCACCUCUAAAAUAUCAUUCCCUAUAACUUUCAUGAAGACCACUCAGUCCAUUUCUCACCCUAACUAGUUAAAGUUUCCAAAACAACUCCAGAUUUUCCAGUUCGAAAUUCACUGCAGAAAUCAACUAGCAGUCCUGCUUUAUUCACUCAUAUCUCAGAACACACAACUCCAAUUCAGGUAAUUCCAAAGCCAUUUGAAAUCUAAGAUACAGGGCUAGAAUUCUUAAGAAGACAUCAACAACUAAAUCAGUAGUAUUCCCAGUCAAACUAACCAAUUACCAAAGCUGAUUAUCAGUUUCGGACAGAAACAGGGUAGCAGGGGUAUUUCGGUCUUUUCACAGGAUACCGAGCUCUGAUUGAGUUGAAAAUUUACAGGUAACUAGAAAACAUCAUUAUCUAAAACUUUCAUAUUUUGUGCUAAGGCCAAUUCGGCCUCUAACCUGGUCAAACAGAAACGGGCAGAACUGAACCAUAAGAAAUCUCAAUUCUGGAAUUUUCUCAACAACCAUAGAAAUCACCAAAUCUUCCACACAAACCCACAAAAGUGAUAUAUAAACCAUCAUUAACCCUUAUUAGCAUCUUACAACAUCAAAAACAACAUUUUCUACCCAAUUGCUAUAAGCUUUUACAAGAGUUCAAGGCUGCUUUACCUUCCAAAGGUGGGUUUACAAGGCUGCACUUCAAGAACCAAGUUCAUUAGCUUUCUUUUGCUCUAACUCCCAAGCUUGUUGGAUGGGUUGCACAAAACCAGAAUUUUUUCUUGUUCUUUCUCUUAUUUUCUCUUGGUUUUUCUCCCCUCUUUUCUUCCUAGAGCUGGCUGAAAUUCUCCUUGU